rnacentral:lncRNA from 1 species
UUCUCUGAAAGUAUUUCUGUCUUUUAGUGGUGUGCCUAGGAUUCAAAGCUGCAAAUCUUUGAGACAAAAGGCAGCUGUUUUCUUGAUGCUUGACCCAGCCCACUGUGCUCCCAACAGCCCUCCUAGCACAGCUACAGAGGGUCCCCUGAGUGGGUCCAUUGAGUAUAAUGGUGGGUUUUCCACUCUAAACAAUUAUGGAAACAAAUCAUGAUGACCUGCUUCGUGCCCUCCUCCGCGGUGCAACUCCUCCUCUGCUGUUAGCUCAGAAAGCAUCCUGUGGUGGAAAUGUGAUUGCACUUUGAAUGAUCUGACAAAGGAAACACCAGUGCAUUCCUCCAAAGGCUGCAUGAGGAGCCAUGAAAAUUUUCUCACAUAUUUGCAGUACAUUAGUCAUAGUCUCCUGAAGAACUGCUGCCUUCUGGGAGUCAAAUGUGAGAGUCACAGAGGUUGCUGCAGAUAUUCUGAGAAAGAUGCAGAAGAAAAUGGGCUGAAAGAAUCAUCAUAGAAAAAGUUGGAAGGCAAAGAAGAGGUAGAAUUCCUUCAAAGAAUGGGGAAAUAAAAAAAUCACAGAAAGCAAAAGGACAGGUAUUUGGUGAAGUUUAAUGAUGCCAGUGAUUUUAGAUGUGGUGUAUAAUUUAAUCUUCAUCAUAGUACUGUUAGGUGAGAAUAUAUGCUCCAUGUAAAGAUCAGGGAGUCAGUUCAGGAAGGUUGAGAAAAUUACGCAAAGUCCUUAAGCUAAUACAUGGCUGGAUCAGGACUCAGGUAAUGUUUCCUCUGAGUCCAAGAAUUAAUUCACUGCAUUGAAAGGCCCUAGCAGUGAUUAAGCAUCCAGACCUACAGUGAAUAUCCAAGAUACAUUAAGUGAGCAUUACUAUCUUCUAAAGACAUGAUACAAUACAUAGAGACCCAGGUAUGUUUACCUGCAGGGAAUUUAUUGUUUAUCUCUCAAGAUGGACUAUGAAGUGACAAGGCAUUCUGAGGAGUGCCAUUGGGGCACAUGGAGUCAGAAGACCGGAUGUUUCUGAAGCUAAUGAGUAGCCCUUCAUCCAAUUCCAGAAAGUCAACAAAGGUUUCUCAGGGGGAAAAGUAUGUUAGAUGGUAGUAGUACAGGGCCAUAAGAAGGGUUGCUUAGGGAAGAUGGGAAAAUCUAGAAAUAAGAAGUAGCAAGGGCUACCUUUGAGGCCCUGCAUGAGAUUCAGUAAUAGCAAGAGUUACUAGUAAGUGCGCAAAAGCCUGGGUGUUUGGAAAUGGUGACACAGGCAGGGACCACCUUGUGACAAGCCAGGGAGCCAUCAUCAUUUUCCCAUCCUAUCUAGUGUAAAAAAGUAGGAGGUGUGCUGCUGUGUGUGCUUUUACAGCAAGAACUCCUUUUGAUAGCCAUAAAGCAAUGAUUGAUGUAAAAAGUAAUACUUCUCAGCAUUCACUCCCUUGCUGUAUAUUUUCAAUACGUGCUCAAGGGAAAACUAGAAUUAUCAGAGUCGUUAAUAAAGUUAAAAUGUAAGUGUACUUGAAACGUUCUGAGAAGAGUUGGUCAUCCUUAUUUCUUUAUCUCAGGCAAAAUUUUGGAGAAACAUUUUAAUGUUUGCACAAUCUUCAAUCAAAUAUACUGCCCAUUUUUAGAUCCCUAACUUAUUGCUGUCAU